GACGAACGCUGGCGGCGUGCUUAACACAUGCAAGUCGAGCGGUAAGGCCCUUUCGGGGGUACGACGAGCGGCGAACGGGUGAGUAACACGUGGGUGACCUGCCCUUAGCUCUGGGAUAAGCCUGGGAAACUGGGUCUAAUACCGGAUAUGACUCCAUGACGCAUGUUGUGGGGUGGAAAGCCUUGUGCGGCUAGGGAUGGGCCCGCGGCCUAUCAGCUUGUUGGUGGGGUGAUGGCCUACCAAGGCGACGACGGGUAGCCGGCCUGAGAGGGCGACCGGCCACACUGGGGACUGAGACACGGCCCAGACUCCUACGGGAGGCAGCAGUGGGGAAUCUUGCGCAAUGGGCGAAAGCCUGACGCAGCGACGCCGCGUGAGGGAUGACGGCCUGGUGUAAC
rnacentral:rRNA from 1 species